rnacentral:rRNA from 1 species
UACGUAGGGGGCGAGCGUUGUCCGGAAUGACUGGGCGUAAAGGGCGUGUAGGCGGCGGACUAAGUCUGGAGUGAAAGUCCUGCUUUUAAGGUGGGAAUUGCUUUGGAUACUGGAUCGCUUGAGUGCGGAAGAGGUAAGUGGAAUUCCCAGUGUAGCGGUGAAAUGCGUAGAGAUUGGGAGGAACACCAGUGGCGAAGGCGACCUACUGGGCCGUAACUGACGUUGAGGCUCGAAAGCGUGGGGAGCAAAC